rnacentral:rRNA from 1 species
UGGGGAAUCUUCCACAAUGGACGAAAGUCCGAUGGAGCAACGCCGCGUGAGUGAAGAAGGGUUUCGGCUUGUAAAGCUCUGCUGUCGGGGACGAAUGUGAGAUACUUGAACAAAGUGUCUCAAUGACGAUACCUGACGAGGAAGCCACGGCUAACUACGUGCCAGCAGCCGCGGUAAUACGUAGGUGUCAAGCGUUGUCCGGAAUUAUUGGGCGUAAAGGGAGCGCAGGCGGGAAGGUAAGUCGGUCUUAAAAGUGCGGGGCUCAACCCCGUGAUGGGAUCGAAACUAUCUUUCUUGAGUGCAGGAGAGGAGAGUGGAAUUCCUAGUGUAGCGGUGAAAUGCGUAGAUAUUAGGAGGAACACCAGUGGCGAAGGCGACUUUCUGGACUGUAACUGACGCU